UACGGGGGGAGCAAGCGUUGUUCGGAUUUACUGGGCGUAAAGGGCUUGUAGGUGGCCAACUAAGUCAGACGUGAAAUCCCUCGGCUUAACCGGGGAACUGCGUCUGAUACUGGAUGGCUCGAGUUUGGGAGAGGGAUGCGGAAUUCCAGGUGUAGCGGUGAAAUGCGUAGAUAUCUGGAGGAACACCGGUGGCGAAGGCGGCAUCCUGGACCAACACUGACACUGAAAAGCGAAAGCCAGGGGAGCAAACGGG
rnacentral:rRNA from 1 species